UUUAAAAAGUCUUAAACACCAAGAACCAUAAGCUACAACUGGCUUUAGCCCACCAAAGAAGCAAUUGUAGGCAGUGUUAUUCAGAACAUAUGAUAAAAUUACCUGCUCAAACUUAAUAAAGCAUUGGAACCCUUCAAAAUGCAAAUUUUAGCAAAUUCACGAUGCUAUUUUAAUAUUGUUUCUCAAACUUGUUAAGCAUUCCUCUAAACUUUUAUGUAGUUAAUUAAAAAGGGUUGCAGGUAUUGAAAAUUCAAACUCAAGGAAACUUCACCCAGUGUUGUUUGUGAGUCUUAUUUUAUGUAAAGUUCUUCAUGGACUAAUAUAGGAUGAAAUUGUAAUUGAUUAGAAGAAAUGUCCUGAAAAAUAGGUGAAGGGAUCUAGAAGGUGGCUUAGCUUUUGAUUGGUGGAAGUGGAGAGAAGUAGAAAAUUGAUGAGGCUAUGUCAUGGAGAAUAUCCCUUUGGUUCAAUACAACAACCUUUUGAUAUUUUUAAGAAGUGUAAUUAUUCCCAAUGCCUGGCGUUGAUUACAUUUUUUAAAAAUAUGUGGUUGUUUAGUCUGUUUGAGUUCAUCGAUAAACACUUUGAGACACUAGUGUUCACAGCAUAGGCUUAGAGUGAAUUGUGAGAUCAAUUGAGCUACAUAGGUGGGUACGAUUGUUGAGGCCCGCCACAAUGUUGCCAUUAUAUUCUCUCCAUAAGAAAGGUACCACAUUCACCCAAAUUGUAGGCUUCAAAUCCCUCCCCAGCAAGGAUGAGUUGCCCCAAGUCAAGGCAAGUGCACAUGAAGCCCAUUGCCUCAGUAGACCCCCACGAUACUAAGUAGCUCCAAUUCACUUUGGUCAUUGUUGUUUCAACUUGAAUAAUGUUAACCAUAAAUUUUAAGUCUAGUUUCAAUUUAGUCAUUCCAUUUAAAUUACUCGUGCCUUCUCAAAUUUGGAGCUUUAAUUUCUUGAAAUUGUUCCUUUGUCGUAGCCUGUAAUUGUUUGAACAGAUAAUACUCUUUUUAAGAACAUAUAAUUGUGAUGGGCCUUUUCCUAGAUAUCCAUUUUUGCCAUUUUUAUUGUUGAAUUUAAUUCUUUUAAAUAAAUGUUUAGCCUAACAUGCUUAAAGCUAUUAACUUUGCAAAAUUUGUGAGUUAUUUUAUCAAUAUUCCGAACUAACUUUUCAUCCCAUAUUUGUAUCAGUAAUUUAUCCUUGGUUCUGCCCGUGCAUCAUGUUGGAUUUCCCCUAGCAUUUCCAUUUGUAUUUAACUGCUUAAUUACUUCCUAGAAAGUUUAUGCCCACUUACUCACCCUGUGGAGUGUGGACAUGGUUUGGAGAGGGAUCUUCGCCUCAUUUUUUAGUCUCUCAUUCAUAUAUUUUUUUGUUUUGCUCAUUCAUCAUAUUAGCAGCUCAUUAUUCCGUGUGCAUGUGCAUCUCUAUCUAUGAACACUUAAAAUUAGUUCCUUGAAAAGUUUCUUCCAAAUUUUUUUCUUGUUUUCUUGCUUUUUUCUUCUUUUUCCUUUAGGUUUUGCCCUUCAUCUGAUUUUUAUUUUAUGUUGAUUAUACAUAUAAUGCUGAGCACUCAAGUACAAUUCAAAUGGCUAUUGGUGCAAUAUGUAGAGAAUCAUGAUGGAAUUAUCAUCUAUGAAGGCAUUAGAUUUAUAGAUUAUUAAGUUAAACACCUUUUUUAGCACCUGUAUUAUGAAGCAAAGGAAACUUUCAGCAUAACAGCAUUCUUGAAAAACAAAUUUAAAAUAAUUUGUUGUGAGAAAAAAUAUGUAGUUGCCAGAGAACUUCAUAAAAAUAUAUUUAACAAAUAAAGCAUAUUAAAAAAAAUCUUCCAACCAUUCAUGUUUAAUUAAAUAUAUCAGUGGUUCAAUCUAGGCAAAGCUCUCCCUUCCCAAGGCUACAACUUCCAAUGUUGUUAUAUAUAUAUAUAUAUAUAUCAUAAGCCAUAAACAAGAACCUUUUCUUUAAACAUAACCAUUCAAAUCUCCUCUAAAUCUCAACCACCUUUGAAUAUAAUAACUGAUGAUAAUGAAUAAUGGAUCUCCACAACAUCUCCCUCAUCCAAUGACAAAAACCCAAAUUUCAGCAGAAGGUAACACCUGUCCAAUUGCCUUCCACAUGGUUAGUACACAUGUCAAGCAAUGGAUUGCUUUCAAAAACUAUAAAUUCUAGUAACUCUGGUAUAUAUACAACUCAGAGUUUUUGAGCAAUAGUUGCAUAUAUUAUAUGUUACACCAAGAACCAAGAAGUUUGAAAAAAAUGGACAGUUCACAGAACAUGAGUUAUCAAGCUGGCCAGGCCAAGGGCCAAGCCCAGGUGAGCUUAAUUGGCUUUUUCUAUCUUCUUUAUUUUCCAAUUAUGUACUUCUCAACAUCCAUGACACAUAUUAAUUGAUGCACAUAAUUAACUAGUUAGUUUAGUUAGUCAGAACUCUUUCGUGUACUGUUACUUUCAAACUGCAUUUAGUAGUUUAAAUUCUGUAAGAUGGAAAAUCUAUGGAAAAUCUAUGCCAAAAAUGUGAAAUAGAGUUGCAGUUGCAAGAGUGAUAAAGCAUUAAUUAUGUUGUCAUUGUAUUUCUUUGUAUGAAGAUAUGAUAUUAAUUAUGUUGCCUUCUUGUUUCUUUCUAUGAUAGUGGAUUGGAAUUGGGCCCUCACAAAAUGAUGGUGGGAACUGCUAUUAGUGGGAUUGAAGUCAAUUUUGAUAUAAAAACAAGGCCUAUAAAAAAAACAAGUCAAUUUUUUGUUCAUGUCAUGUUCAGAGUGCAAUGUAUCAGUUUCUGGCUUCGUCCGAGUUGGACCUCCAAUUACAUGAUCGAAGAAGAAUAUCUGGGCAAAUAUGACCAUUAGAGUAUCAAGCAUUCCAUUCUCGAAAUAAUUAUGCUACCAGGCCACUAAAGAAUAGAUGGAGCAAUGAAGAAUUAAUGCUUGCUACUGGGACUGGAGGAGUAACUCGUCUUCGACAUGAUUUAAAACUCUGCAGUGCAUACCUUGGAGUUCAUGUAAGAUUUUUUGAGUCAUAGUUAUAUUUCCUUGCAUGCCUCUGGGUCUUUUUUUUCUCCCUAGUUUGACACGAAUUUACUUAAUUAGCUUGUCAUAUGAAUUGAAUUUGCAUGUAUUUUAACUAGGAUAUGAAAAUGUAUUGGCGGGUAAUUGUCUGUCUCACAAAAUGUCGAAUACGCCCUAAAUAUGGUCGAAAAAGGCCGUUUUGGGGGCGAAAAAUCAAAACAGCCCCUGAACCACCGUGUGGCUCAGACAAACAGUUCCCCCAUGACAAAUAGGACUUGUGAGAAUUGACGGAACGUAAUUCGGACCCAUAGGUUGGGAGUUAGAGCCGAAUACGCCUUAAACUUAGUUGAAAAAGGGCGUUUCGGGGGCGAAAAUUGAAAACAGCCCCCGAACCGCCAUGUGGCCAACACGAACACCUUCUCCAUGUCAAAUAGGACUUGUGACAAAUGAAAGAAUGUUAUUCGGACCCAUAGGUUGGGAUUUAGAGACGAAUAUGCCCAAAACUUAGUUGAAAAAUGGCGUUUCAGGGGUGAAAAUUGAAAACAGCCCUUGAUCCGCUGUGUGGCCAACAUGAACAGCUUCCCCAUGCCAAAUAUGACUUGUUACAACUGACGGAAUGUUAUUUGGACCUAUAUGUUGGGAUUUAGAGCCGAAUACGCCCAAAACUUAGUUGAAAAAGGGCGUUUCGGAGGCAAAAAUUGAAAACAGUCCCUGAACCGCAGUGUGGCCAACAUGAACACGUUUCCCAUGCCAAAUAGGACUUGUGACAAAUGACAAAAUGUUAUUCGGAUCCGUAGAUUGGGAUUUAGAGACAAAUACGCCCAAAACUUAGUCGAAAAACGGCGUUUCGAGGGUGAAAAUUCAAACAGCCCUUGAUCCGCUAUGUGGCCGACACGAACAGCUUCCCCAUGCCAAAUAUGACUUGUUACAACUGACGGAAUGUUAUUUGGACCCAUAUGUUGGGAUUUAGAGCCGAAUACGCCUAAAAGUUAGUUGAAAAAGGGCGUUUCGGGGGCAAAAAUUGAAAACAGUCCCCGAACCGCCGUGUGGCCGACACGAACACCUUCCCCAUGCCAAAUAGGACUUGUGACAAAUGACGGAAUGUUAUCCCCUUCUCCAUUUUAGCAUUCUUAUAUGUUCAAUUAAUAGUGAAAUAUUUCCUUCGUUUACAAUUUUUUUUUUCUAAUAACAAAAUAAGAAACAAAGACAACUUUUGUUAGGAAUUCAUGAUAAGUGUUGAAACAACUUAUGGUUCUUGUGUGUUUCAUAGUGUUUUUGUUAGUUUUGAUGUAUUUUAAAUAUGUUUUGAUGCCAAUGUUUUGCUUUAGUUUGUAGGCACAUGAGUAAGGGGUACUUGUUUUUCCAUGAUGGUAGAGUGCUUGUUAAGUGAUUUUGUUAUGUAUACUUGGAUUGGUGCAGGGGCUCCCUACUCCCAACCCCACCCCAAACCAAGUUUGGGUUGUAAUCCUAUUCCUGUUACCUGGCUCUAAUGUAAUUAAUACCUUUGGAAGCUUGUCGCAGAAGGGGAAGGUUCUUAACUGAAGGGUUAAAUUGCCAUCCCUAUGGAAAAAAAACUCUUCACUUGUUUUCAUAAUUUGAUGAUAGCCUAUAGACCAACAUUGCUUAAGAACGCAUGUUUUAUUCCAACUUAGUGUGAUGGAUGUAGGGGCAAGUUAUAGAUGGGUUUGCUCCAACCAUGCUCCGACUUCGUUUGGCAUGAUUUUGCCUCUAUCAGAUUUUACUUUACUUUUAUUUUCUUAAACUAUAAAACUAUCAUAUGCUAUAACUUUAAUUCAUUUAAUCUUUAUUUGUUUUAGCCUUUUACUUCAAAGAGCAGGAUUUGAUAUUCCAUAUUUGGGAUAUCAUCUUUUGCAUUUGGCUCUGAAGCAUUAUUACGGUAAUUGUUUAUUAAUUCAGUGUCAUGCCUCUAUAUGAUUUUUCAUUAACUCAUUUUAACAUUUUUGUUUCUGUUUAAGGGGAUCGCAUGAUGGAUUACAUAAACCUAGAUGACAGAUCAAUUGGUAUGUUCUGGGUUGUGUCUUACACCAUGGCAUAACCUGCUUGUGAAACAGUAAUGAAUUGGUUGACCUCUGCUGGAGUUCAAGAGUUGUUACCUGGAUCAAACUUACAGUCAACUGAGAGGCUAAUGGUGAUGCGGGAAGUUAGCCCAUUGCCAAUUUCAUUGUUAUCAGGCUUUUCAAUCAACUUGUGUCUAAAGCUGGCUUAUCAGAUGGAAGAAUCUAUGUUUUUGGGACAGGUAUAGGAUGUUGUUAUUGGAAGACUUUUACAAACUCGAGCUUUUCCACUACCAAUUACUGCAAUAGUUGUUGAUCCAACAGAGAUGAAGUUAUUUUCUGGUGGUAUAAAUUACUAGUGGAUAUUUCUUUUUUGUAUACGGAGGACAUCAUUUUUGUAUGAUUAUAUGUUUGUAUGGAAUUAUUAUUUUGGGUUGGAUUAUAUUUGGUCUGUAUAGAAUUUGAUGUUACAAGACCAAAUUUUUGGAUGGUUG